rnacentral:rRNA from 1 species
UGGGGAAUCUUGCACAAUGGGCGAAAGCCUGAUGCAGCGACGCCGCGUGGGGGAUGAAGCAUUUCGGUGUGUAAACCCCUUUCGACCCGGACGAAUGCCUCGCAAGAGGAGUGACGGUACGGGUAUAAGAAGCCCCGGCUAACUACGUGCCAGCAGCCGCGGUAAGACGUAGGGGGCCAGCGUUGUUCGGAAUUACUGGGUGUAAAGGGUUCGUAGGCGGUGUGGCAAGUUGGGAGUGAAAUCUCUGGGCUCAACCCAGAGGCUGCUUCCAAAACUGCUGUGCUUGAGUGUGGGAGAGGCGCGUGGAAUUGCAGGUGUAGCGGUGAAAUGCGUAGAUAUCUGCAGGAACACCCGUGGCGAAAGCGGCGCGCUGGACCACAACUGACGCUGAGGAACGAAAGCUAGGGGAGCAAACAGGAUUAGAUACCCCCGUAGUCC